UGUGUGUGUGUGUGUGUGUGUGUGUGUGUGUGUGUGUGUGUGUGUGUGUGUGUGUGUGGAGCUGAGGGAUGGCAUGGCAGGCUGUCCCCUGACAGCAUGAGAGCAUAAGGAGACUGGUUUUGAACAGAUGGAGCACCGGUUUAAUGUAGGAAGCUUUAUUUAUGGACUCCAACACAUCUAGAUCUUGCCAAGUGGGCACAAGAUGACGACUUGUCCAAACCCAGCACAUGGACUAUGGCCUUCUCCUGCUCGAGAAAUCUCUAUCAUUUUUUGCCGUGAACCCCAUCUGGUCGGGGACUACGUUACUAGCUGAUGAGUGGGUAGACCAAGCGCCGCCUGUACUUCAGUCAUGUCUCUUCUUUUUUUUCCCAGCUGUAAGAAAAUGCAGAAUCUUUUUACACACCCCACUGGCACGUUCGAUCCGUGGGUCCUUCACACCAUUCUCUGUAAUAAAUAAAGAAUACAAUCAAAAGACAUUUUAGUAAAACAUGACCUUCAUUCACAAAUUUUUUAUGGUAUUAUUACUACUCUUACCGAUAAUGCUUAUCGAUCCGGUACUUUAACAGUAUUCUUAUCGGUUCUUUUUGUUGUAUAUAAUAAAAUAAAAAUUAAGAACAUAAUUAA